GACGCACGCUGGCGGCGUGCCUAAUACAUGCAAGUCGAACGCAGUGGGGACGGGUGAGUAACACGUGGGUAACCUGCCCAUCAGAGGGGAUAACACUUGGAAACAGGUGCUAAACCGAUACUGAUGGAUGGACCCGCGGUGCAUUAGCUAGUUGGUGAGGUCACGGCUCACCAAGGCCACGAUGCAUAGCCGACCUGAGAGGGUGAUCGGCAACCAUGGGACUGAGACACGGCCCAAACUGCUACGGGAGGCAGCAGUAGGGAAUCUGCGGCAAUGGAAGAAAGGCUGACCGAGAAACGCCGCGUGAGUGAAGAAGGUUUGCGGAGCGUAAAACUCUGUUGUUAGAGAAGCGGUAUCUAACCAGAAAGCCACGGCUAACUACGUGCCAGCAGCCGCGGUAAUUC
rnacentral:rRNA from 1 species